GCAUGCGGAAGUCCGGCUGCGCCCACCAACAUGUCUUCACCUCACAGCUUCCUGACAGGCCGUGGCAUUUACAGCGCAGGUGCAUGUGGUCGAGGAUGGUCUGAGAAACACAGAAGGCACAUUUACAUUGCCACUGGAAUCCACUUACAACUGCUGUGAAGUCAAGCCAUCUUCCUUUCUGGGAACAAACAAGGACCAGGUGGUGGUGCUUGCUGAGAGCCUCAGCCAUCACUGCAUUUACAAAACAAGCUGUAGAAGAUAAAAUACACCCUCUGAGCAGCGCUACUUCCUCAGGGAGGCCUGGACUACCGCAGUGAAUCGGAAAGUGACGAGAUGGGCCAACCAGCUGGUUAGAACUAGAGGCAGCACAUUGGCAUUGGUUUCCACCGCUGAACUUGCAAGGUUACCUCUAAACUGGGCCAAAGAUGGCGAGGUUGUCCUUGAUGGUGGUGCAGUUCCAUCGGCGGCCCCUAAACUGGUGCUGGCACUCCUGGAUCCCCAGCUUGACGCCUUCAGCAACGCUGGGCAUGAUCUCUAUGUAGUUGCG